UACGUAGGUGGCAAGCGUUGUCCGGAAUUAUUGGGCUUAAAGCGCGCGCAGGCGGCCUCUUAAGUCUGAUGUGAAAGCCCCCGGCUCAACCGGGGAGGGCCAUUGGAAACUGGGAGGCUUGAGUAUAGGAGAGAAGAGUGGAAUUCCACGUGAGCGGUGAAAUGCGUAGAGAUGUGGAGGAACACCAGUGGCGAAGGCGACUCUUGGCCUAUAACUGACGCUGAGGCGCGAAAGCGUGGGGAG
rnacentral:rRNA from 1 species